rnacentral:lncRNA from 1 species
UUUUGGAAGAGCUGCAAUACUGAAAAUGUGAAACUUCCUUCAUGAAGCUGACAAAACUGUUUGGCCCACGUGCCCUCAACUAGUUGGAGGCACCUGACCUACUAAGCCUAGAGGAGCUUUCUCGCCCAGCUGCAGAUUCAAACCAACACUGCCUUCCUUCCUUCCUUCCUUCGCCAGCAGAGAGACAACGGGCAGUUCAUCCCAUCUUAGAACAUGUGGGAAAACAGUCUCCUGCAGGUGAAUAUUACCCCCUGUUAGCCACAGCACUCCCAGAGAAGCAUCCCGGUGCUGGGGGUCCAUUUCCGAGGCUUUGA